UAAUCACUCCCACUGUUUGGUUUUUGUUUUCCUUUCCACCAAUGAGUAUAUAAACACCCCUGAGAUGAUCCGAGAGUCUGUUCUGAAGAAACACCUCAUCAUCUGUGACCUCAGGUACUCAAGUCUAAGAAGACUAUUACUUUGCUCCUGAGAGAUUGUUUGAUAGAGGAAUCCCGUGACCUCAUGGAUUUCUUCAAAGCGGUGGGCGCGGUGGCAGCUGGUGUAGCCGAAGGAACGGUGGGCGUGGUCAGAGCCGUGGUGGACGUCCCGGUGGGGAUGGUGAAAGGAGCUGCAGACAGCAUCAAAGAAGCCAGCAGCAAAAUCGACAGCGCCAGCUCGCCCGGUGAAGGGGUGGACGCUGUUUUCAGUCUGCUGACGUCUCCACUGACCGGCGCGGUGGCCGGAGGCACAAAAGAGAUCGUCAAGGCACCAGGAAAAGUUGUGCAGAGCGUUGCAGAUGGCAUCGAGAAAGUUUUAGACGACUAAGUAGUGUGAGAGUUUAUGCUUUUUUAUAAUAAUCCUUGAACACUCAUCAUGCAAAAACUUUUAUUUUAGACCAAAAAUUAUUAGAAGAUUUUAUGUAUAUGAAGUAGACAAUAUUUUAUAAAUUCACUGGUAAUAAUGUUCUCACAGUGUCUACAAAUUACAUUAAAUAAUUGUAGGCUAUCAUAAAUCAGCACUGAUUGUUUUUAGAUUUAUGACAAUUAUGCUAAUUAAACUUCAACAAUGUAAAAAAUUUUGUCUUGUGUGAAAUUUUCACAAAAGUAGCCUAUCACUUGCUAUCUAUGGUAAGCUGCUCUGUCUUGUCUGUCAAUGUGUUGUCAGUGUAUUUUUCACCGCGUGAGAACAAGAUGUGUGUCGUGAGAGAGGCAUGGGGAGUCAGUCAUAGCAACAGUAAUUAAGGGGGGUGGGUGGGUAUUUAUCAAAAUAAUAGCCAAAAUGAACAAAACCUGACAACAAAUGACACGAUAAUGACCAAACAUUUUAUUUUUUUUUUUUUACAUAAUUGCUCAGUUUGCAUAACAGUAAAAAAAAAACUCUCUGCUUAGAGACUAGACUUACAAGUAUCUCAUUUAAUCAUUUUUCUUUACGUCUUUACUUUAACUUUUAUUCCAGUUAUGGGUCUACUUCUGAAAAGUAAACUUAAUUACCCCUUGAAUACCUGUGAGUUGGUCAGUCUAGUUCUUAAGACAUAGGAGGUUUAGACUAGUCUUACAAAUUAUCCAUCUAAUUUUUUUCUUUAAAAUUUCUCAUAAUACGAUGUGAUCUUAGUUUUGGUUUCAAUAUUAAUGCAGGACAAACUAUCAGCCAACGGCCAACCCAAAGGACAUAAAACAAUAAACAUAAGAUUUCAAACAGUUUUACCAAAUGCCUACUUUUUUUCAUAAUACCAGAGCUGUGAACUUUUACUAUUUAGGGCACAUUAAUUUCAUUUCCACUUACAACAUCUACACAUCUGCAUUAACUGUCUUCACAUCUGCCUUAACCGUCUUCAAGAAAAGCCAUACUAAAGACUCUGGAAUAGAAAUAAAUGUCAGAGAUUUUCAGAUUUUUCCCUUAAGUGGAUAAUUAUUUUGGAUUUUAUUUAAGCUAAACAGGAAAAUCAAAUAUGAUACACAACAGCUCCAGUAUUUGA